rnacentral:rRNA from 1 species
UUUUGAAACUGCAUCCCUUGAGUAUCGGAGAGGCAAGCGGAAUUCCUAGUGUAGCGGUGAAAUGCGUAGAUAUUAGGAGGAACACCAGUGGCGAAGGCGGCUUGCUGGACGACGACUGACGCUGAGGCGCGAAAGCGUGGGGAGCAAACAGGAUUAGAUACCCUGGUAGUCCACGCUGUAAACGAUGAAUACUAGGUGUGGGAGGACUGACCCCUUCCGUGCCGCAGUUAACACAAUAAGUAUUCCACCUGGGGAGUACGACCGCAAGGCUGAAACUCAAAGGAAUUGACGGGGGCCCGCACAAGCAGUGGAUUAUGUGGUUUAAUUCGACGCAACGCGAAGAACCUUACCAGGACUUGACAUCCAACUAACGAAGUAGAGAUACAUUAGGUGCCCUUCGGGGAAAGUUGAGACAGGUGGUGCAUGGUUGUCGUCAGCUCGUGUCGUGAGAUGUUGGGUUGAGUCCCGCAACGAGCGCAACCCCUAUUGUUAGUUGCUACGCAAGAGCACUCUAGCGAGACUGCCGUUGACAAAACGGAGGAAGGCGGGGACGACGUCAAAUCAUCAUGCCCCUUAUGUCCUGGGCUACACACGUAAUACAAUGGUGGUUAACAGAGGGAGGCAAUACUGCGAAGUGCAGCAAAUCCCUAAAGGCCAUCUCAGUUCGGAUUGCAGGGCUGCAACUCGCCUGCAUGAAGCUGGAAUUGCUAGUAAUCGCGGGAUCAGCAUGCCGCGGUGAAUACGUUCCCGGGGUCUUGUACACAC